UGGGGAAUAUUGCACAAUGGGCGAAAGCCUGAUGCAGCAACGCCGCGUGAGUGAUGAAGGCCUUCGGGUUGUAAAGCUCUGUCUUUUGGGACGAUAAUGACGGUACCAAAGGAGGAAGCCACGGCUAACUACGUGCCAGCAGCCGCGGUAAUACGUAGGUGGCAAGCGUUGUCCGGAUUUACUGGGCGUAAAGGAUGCGUAGGCGGAUUUUUAAGUGAGAUGUGAAAACCCUAAGCUUAACUUGGGGACUGCAUUUCAUACUGGAAAUCUAGAGUGCGGGAGAGGAGAAUGGAAUUCCUAGUGUAGCGGUGAAAUGCGUAGAGAUUAGGAAGAACACCAGUGGCGAAGGCGAUUCUCUGGACCGUAACUGACGCUGAGGCAUGAAAGCGUGGGUAGCAAACAGGAUUAGAUACCCUGGUAGUCCACGCCGUAAAACGAUGAGUACUAGGUGUAGGAGGUAUCGACCCCUUCUGUGCCGCAGUUAACACAAUAAGUACUCCGCCUGGGAAGUACGAUCGCAAGAUUAAAAACUCAAAUGAAUUGACGGGGUCAUAGCUG
rnacentral:rRNA from 1 species